rnacentral:sRNA from 1 species
AGAUUUCAAGUAUGUUAGCAGCAGUAAUUAGGGAUGUUUUCCUCUAAGGAAAAUUAAAGUUAUAAAAUUAUUAUUUGUUAAAAAUGAUUCCUGCUACUUCAAAUUUAUCCUUAAAUGUAGAGGAUUAACAAUGAACAACUUGAAGUAACUUGGUUGUCACCUCAGAAGUUUAGUUUAUCACCGAUUUAAUGAAGAUGGGCAAGAAGAGGAAGGCUUUAUGAUAAUGAAGUCUCGCUCGAUUGCCCAGGAUGGAGUGUAGUGGCACAAUCUCCACUCACUGCAACCUCUGCCGCCAGGGUUCAAGCAAUUCUCCUGCCUCAGCCUCCCAAGUAGCUGGGCUUACAGAUGCCACUUCAAAUGAACAACAAGAGCUUUUCUGUCAGAAGUUGCAGCAGUGUUGUAUACUGUUUGAUUUCAUGGACUCUGUUUCAGACUUGAAGAGCAAAGAAAUUAAAAGAGCAACACUGAAUGAACUGGUUGAGUAUGUUUCAACUAAUCGUGGUGUAAUUGUUGAAUCAGCGUAUUCUGAUAUAGUAAAAAUGAUCAGUGCUAACAUCUUCCGUACACUUCCUCCAAGUGAUAAUCCAGAUUUUGAUCCAGAAGAGGAUGAACCCACGCUUGAGGCCUCUUGGCCUCACAUACAGUUGGUAUAUGAAUUCUUCUUGAGAUUUUUGGAGAGCCCUGAUUUCCAGCCUAGCAUUGCAAAGCGAUACAUUGAUCAGAAAUUCGUACAACAG